rnacentral:rRNA from 1 species
GAUGAACGCUGGCGGCGUGCUUAACACAUGCAAGUCGAACGAAGCAUUUAAGACAGAUUACUUCGGUUUGAAGUCUUUUAUGACUGAGUGGCGGACGGGUGAGUAACGCGUGGGUAACCUGCCUCAUACAGGGGGAUAGCAGCUGGAAACGGCUGGUAAUACCGCAUAAGCGCACAGUACCACAUGGUACAGUGUGAAAAACUCCGGUGGUAUGAGAUGGACCCGCGCCUGAUUAGCUUGUUGGCGGGGUAACGGCCCACCAAGGCGACGAUCAGUAGCCGACCUGAGAGGGUGACCGGCCACAUUGGGACUGAGACACGGCCCAGACUCCUACGGGAGGCAGCAGUGGGGAAUAUUGCACAAUGGAGGAAACUCUGAUGCAGCGACGCCGCGUGAGUGAAGAAGUAGUUCGCUAUGUAAAGCUCUAUCAGCAGGGAAGAUAGUGACGGUACCUGACUAAGAAGCUCCGGCUAAAUACGUG